rnacentral:rRNA from 1 species
AGUGAACGCUGGCGGCAUGCCUAACACAUGCAAGUCGAACGGCAGCACAGUAAGAGCUUGCUCUUACGGGUGGCGAGUGGCGGACGGGGGAGGAAUACAGCGGAAUCUACUGUUUCGAGGGGGGUAACGUAGGGAAACUAACGCUAAUACCGCAUACGACCUACGGGUGAAAGCAGGGGAUCUUCGGACCUUGCGCGAUUGAAUGAGCCGAUGUAGGAUUAGCUAGUUGGCGGGGUAAAGGCCCACCAAGGCGACGAUCCGUAGCUGGUCUGAGAGGGUGGACAGGCACCCUGGAACUGAGAAAGGGCCCAGACACCUAGGGGAGGCAACAGUGGGGAAUAUUGGGGAAUGGGGGAGAGCGUGAUACAGCAAUACCGAGUGAGUUAAGAAGGAGUUCGGCUUGUAAAGCCCUUUUGUUGGGAAAGAAGAGCAGCAGGAUAAGACCGCGCUAUUAUGACGGUACCCAAAGAAUAAGCACCGGCUAACUACGUG